AUGUGGCAGAAACAACAUUUGAAGCUUAGACUGGAGUGGAUCCUAAGGAGUCAUGAGAUCUUGCAGCUUUGUCCUUGGCUCCUGCCUCUGCUUUCUUCAGCCUCCAGCUCAAUUCCAACUUGUGGCUUCUCAAUCUCCAACUGAAGUGAGUAGGCUUUUGUAUCUCCCAAUCUGGUUGCGCCUCUGAGAGUGGGUUUCUGCUGAACUGACCGACGCUCCCUUCUUCAAUCUAAUUCAGCUGAACUCUUCUCUCAGUGUUUUCAGCUCAACUCCUCUCUGUCUGUUUCUUAUAUACGAUCUCUUCUGAGAGAGAGGGAUUAUGGGUUAUCUCCCAGAGUGCUCUCUGGCCCUAAGGGAGGUAUGAAUUCGGAUCUUAUACUAAGCCCUGAACUCUCCCAAACGUGUGAACUCCAUUGAGUACUUAGAUACUUAUGAGCUCUCUAAAGGUAUGAACACAAGCAUUGUUUCCAUCAGUAUUAGCAACUUAUCACCUUGUAAAGGAUUUGCUCUAAGGUGUGAACCAAUAAGCACUGUAUCAAUUCUAUUGAGUUAACACCAGGAUUCUGAAAUCACCCUUAAGUUUUCACCUUGUUUCAAGU
rnacentral:lncRNA from 1 species